CAAACUUUAGUCGAAUUAAAGAUCCAAACACCUAGUCUCUCCCCUCUUGCAUUCACAGGCGAUUUGGCCUAUGUACUGCUCGAUUCCGGCGAUUUGGAGGAGGGGAAGCGCCAAUCCGAGGUGGAGAGCCGGGGUUGGGUCUGGAUCCUUCCGCGAGUUGUGCGAAUCGACUGUAUUUCAUUCCCCGCUCUAUCUAUCUCUAAGUUUUCAGUCGAUUUGCCUCACGAGUACUCGAAUCCAUCGAUUUCUUACAGGGGACUGUAAAUUGGAGGCGAGGAGUACGAGAGGUGGAUGGGUGCGCACGAAGGAAAAGUGCAAAUCGAAGAUGAAUCAUCGUUUAGGUCUUUUGGGGGGAUUUUGCAUUUGUUACUUCACAUGAAGGUGCUUAUUGCUGAUUCAGAAGCCUUGGCACAUCUUUUGGUUGAUCCGUGAGCCGAGCUACUCUAUUCUGUUCAGCAGAAAAAUGGGGCUACUCUCAUGUUAUAGCUUCCUUGACGUCAUUUGGGAAGAAUUUGCUUCCACGUGCGGCAGCUGAUGUAUCCCGUGUUACUGAUGUCACUGCAAAAGAAGGAGCCACAAGUCUCUGUAAGGUCAGGAAGUGGUCAGGAAGGGGAAGCAAAUGUGUAGUCAUCAUUUGUUUGCAGUCAUUGUUAAUGAACAUCAUUUUUCCUUGUGAUGUAAUGCAAACACACAUCAUACCAUUGUAUGCAGAUUAGAAUUAAUUGUCUGCAAAGGCCCAACUUAGUUAUGAUCAUUGCAUUGGCAGGUCAUAUGGUUGUGCACGGAGAAUGCAAAUACUUGAACUUGUAAUGGGUAUUAUUUAAGAAAAUCAGAUCAGGUUGCUUUUGUACGAAGAACUAAAAGCAAAAUAGUUUGAAGUAUACAUAGGGCUGCCAAAGAAUUUGCUGAGA